GGGUAUAGCUCAGUUGGUAGAGCGGCGGUCUCCAAAACCGCAGGUCGAGGGUUCGAGCCCUUCUGCC
rnacentral:tRNA from 1 species